AGUGAACGCUGGCGGUAGGCCUAACACAUGCAAGUCGAACGGCAGCACAGGAGAGCUUGCUCUCUGGGUGGCGAGUGGCGGACGGGUGAGGAAUACAUCGGAAUCUACUCUGUCGUGGGGGAUAACGUAGGGAAACUUACGCUAAUACCGCAUACGACCUACGGGUGAAAGCAGGGGAUCUUCGGACCUUGCGCGAUUGAAUGAGCCGAUGUCGGAUUAGCUAGUUGGCGGGGUAAAGGCCCACCAAGGCGACGAUCCGUAGCAGGUCUGAGAGGAUGAUCAGCCUCACUGGAACUGAGACACGGUCCAGAGUCCUACGGGAGGCAGCAGUGGGGAAUAUUGGACAAUGGGCGCAAGCCUGAUCCAGCCAUACCGCGUGGGUGAAGAAGGCCUUCGGGUUGUAAAGCCCUUUUGUUGGGAAAGAAAUCCAGCUGGCUAAUACCCGGUUGGGAUGACGGUACCCAAAGAAUAAGCACCGGCUAACUUCGUGCCAGCAGCCGCCGCGG
rnacentral:rRNA from 1 species